rnacentral:rRNA from 1 species
CCUACGGGGGACAGCAGUGGGGAAUAUUGCACAAUGGGGGAAACCCUGAUGCAGCGACGCCGCGUGAGUGAAGAAGUAAUUCGUUAUGUAAAGCUCUAUCAGCAGGGAAGAAAAUGACGGUACCUGAGUCAGAAGCCCCGGCUAACUACGUGCCAGCAGCCGCGGUAAUACGUAGGGGGCAAGCGUUAUCCGGAUUUACUGGGUGUAAAGGGAGCGUAGACGGCAGUGCAAGUCUGGAGUGAAAGGCGGGGGCUCAACCCCCGGACUGCUCUGGAAACUGUACGGCUGGAGUGCAGGAGAGGUAAGCGGAAUUCCUAGUGUAGCGGUGAAAUGCGUAGAUAUUAGGAGGAACACCAGGUGCGAAGGCGGCUUACUGGACUGUAACUGACGUUGAGGCUCGAAAGCGUGGGGAGCAAACAGGAUUAGAUACCCUUGUAGUC